UGGUGCUAUUGUUUAAAAACCCUGUAAAUUCAAAUGCGAUCUACAUCUAUGAAACCUUAUUGAACUUUUGAAAAAAUAUGUUGUGAAGGUUAUCAAAUUAACACUGGCGUAAGAUAUUUGAAUACAGUCUUUAUCGGUAGUAACAUGAAUUAAGUUUCUAACAUAAUUCAACAUGCAGUAUACACGUAUUGUCCUAUAUCCAAUUCUAUGAAUGAUAACUUCAAGGAAUUUGUGAAAAAUAAAUUCCCGACUCAAUUUUACAGUUUUACAUCGAUUGCGUUCAUUUAAAUCUUUCACGUCACUUCAGGUAUGUAUCAAAGAAGUUUACACUCACUGCAUCAGUUAUCAAUUUUUGGAAAAAGAAAAAUCACACUAAAUACUGAACUCCGCGGAAAAUUCAAAACGGGAAGUCCUAAUCAAACAACGACAAAAUCAAAAGCUCAAACACACAAACCGAAUGGAUACCAACUGUCAUAUUCCUGACUUGGAAAUGGCAUUUUCUUAUGUAGAAA
rnacentral:lncRNA from 1 species